CCUACGGGUGGCUGCAGUGGGGAAUAUUGGACAAUGGGCGAAAGCCUGAUCCAGCCAUGCCGCGUGUGUGAAGAAGGCCUUCGGGUUGUAAAGCACUUUCAGUGGGGAAGAAAGCCUUGGGGCUAAUACCCUCGAGGAAGGACAUCACCCACAGAAGAAGCACCGGCUAACUCCGUGCCAGCAGCCGCGGUAAUACGGAGGGUGCGAGCGUUAAUCGGAAUUACUGGGCGUAAAGCGCGCGUAGGCGGUCUGAUAAGCCGGUUGUGAAAGCCCCGGGCUCAACCUGGGAACGGCAUCCGGAACUGUCAGGCUAGAGUGCAGGAGAGGAAGGUAGAAUUCCCGGUGUAGCGGUGUAAUGCGUAGAGAUCGGGAGGAAUACCAGUGGCGAAGGCGGCCUUCUGGACUGACACUGACGCUGAGGUGCGAAAGCGUGGGUAGCAAACAGGAUUAGAUACCCGAGUAGUC
rnacentral:rRNA from 1 species